rnacentral:rRNA from 1 species
UGGCGGACGGGUGAGUAAUGUCUGGGAAACUGCCUGAUGGAGGGGGAUAACUACUGGAAACGGUAGCUAAUACCGCAUAACGUCGCAAGACCAAAGAGGGGGACCUUCGGGCCUCUUGCCAUCAGAUGUGCCCGGAUGGGAUUAGCUAGUAGGUGGGGUAACGGCUCACCUAGGCGACGAUCCCUAGCUGGUCUGAGAGGAUGACCAGCCACACUGGAACUGAGACACGGUCCAGACUCCUACGGGAGGCAGCAUG